rnacentral:miRNA from 1 species
UCCACUGUUGCGUUUUUUUAUACGUACGUAUACGCACGUAAAACUCUAAAUCCGUUUAAAUGUUACUUAUGAAAUAACCAAAUAAAUAAAGCAACAGAAUUUAGGUUCCGCAAGUUUUAGUAUGCAUUUGUUAACUUAUUUGUAAAAUAUUUAAAAAAUAGAAAGAUUCCAAGUUUUACGUGCGUGUACGUGCGUACGAAAAACGCAACAGUGGA